rnacentral:lncRNA from 1 species
GUCACAUUUAUGGUGAUGUUGAUUGAGGGCCAAGUAAUUUGAAGUGAAAGCAGACACUCCGUCCUUUAUUCACACAAGAGAAAUGCACAAUUAGCUCCAUGCACUCCUCCAGAGGUGAGAAACUUAAAUAUAAAGAAAAUUAGAGAAAAGGAGAGAAACGUGCCCCCCCCACUUUUUUGCAGACAUGAAAGAAACUCCGUAUAGUGUUUACACACUAUUCAGCAAUGGGCUAGAAUUGGUGCGUCCUCCUCGCGUGUUACUCAAGUUAUUUAUAAUGUGGUUGCAAAAUCCCAGCUAGGAACAAAAAGUCAGAUUUUUGGUACACAUCGAUUAAGCUGUGGCCUCUUGUACUCAUUUCUCCUACAGAGGAAAAUAGAGCCCCAAGAAAGAUCAAGUCCUUGCCUCCUUUUGCUGGUAGAGGGCACUUAACAGACAGUUGCUUAAAGGGAAAACAUGAAUAGAUUUUCUGUGUAUUUCAAAUAGAUACGAACUGAAUGCUGCAGGUAGUAUGGCUGCUAGGAAUACAGGAGAAAAAUACUGAAAACUGCUGCCAUUUAUUGAGUGCCUAUUCUCUGCCUGGCUCCUGGAAUGAUGAUAACAAUAUUUAACGUAUAAUACAGCAUGAGCAUCAUCCAGUGGAGGUGGAUGCCAGCCGAAAACACAACUGAUUUAAUGACAUCACCUUGGCCAAGAUUCAGGAAUUCAGAACUCUAAGUUACCCUGAACUAUCUAAAAACGAAAAUGGAAAGAUAAUUCUACUUCAUGUCUGGUGUACUGCAACUGUGGAUAAGGUGCCCUUCAGAGCCUUAAAGGACAGGAACAAAGUAUGGUGGUUUGUCAUCAGAGCUCCAGGAAGCCAUGAGGAAACUGAGCUUAGGAACCAAAUUGCUCAAAAUGGGAAAGAAAUGAAGAAAUGUGCAUGUGCGGCAGAUGCUUUCAGCCUGGAAGUGUAACCUUCGGGAAGAAGGGACCACCAGUCAUGCUAAUUGGUCUUGAACAAUGGCUGUUUGCACUGGGAGAUGAGAGAAAGCACCCCAUUUCUUCCUGAUUCUGUUCUAUAGAUAUCUUUCCGGGAUUUGCAAUUGAUAAUUAUAGACACAGAGACACACUUGGCCUAAU